GGAAGGAUCAAUACGAGUAGUACCACCUUUGCCCAGCCACGUAGUGGGUGGGGGAAGAGUGGAAAGGUGGGUGGGGUGGAGCUGUGCGAGUGUAGUGUACAUUGUACAUUAGAUUAUGCACAGCACCGUCCUACCAUCUACCACAUAUGCACAGGGCGUCUGCUGGGUCAGUUAUCUUGACUGACUCACAGGGGCCCUGAUGUUUACGCUUGCAUGUUUGACAGAGUCUAGUAUCACUUAUAAAGACAACUUUUAACAAUGGAUCUCUUGGCUCUUGCAACGAUGAAGAACGCAGUAAAGUGCGAUAUGUAGUGCGAUUUGCAUGAAUCUGUGAGUCAUUUAAUCUUUGAACGCAACUUGCGCCUUUUUGGAGGCAUGUCUGUUUGAGGGCCAUAAAAGAUGUAUGUGGGUAUUGCAGUGUGGGGGGAUGGUGGUAUGUGUUGUGCAGUAUUGUACAAUACUUGCUUACUUACUACACUGUGCUGCCAUAUCGCAAGCGUAUUGACAGCAGUCAGUCAAUUGACUCUGUUUAAAGGUAGCCAGUGACCGCUCCAGCGUCCAGCCCUAGUGCUAAGCAUUCUUGGCAGGGCGGUGGAGCGAACAGCGUGGGGAUGGGUUGGGUGAGUGGGUGGACAUUGUCUACCACCUCACCUCGCCUCACCCCACACACACCCAAUUUGGCCUCAAAUCAGUCAAGACUACCCGCUGAACUUAAGCAUAUCAGUAAGCGGAGGAAAAGAAACUAACAAGGAUUCCCCUAGUAACGGCGAGUGAAGCGGGAAAAGCUCAAAUUUAAAAUCUCGGCACACGGUGUGUCGCGAAUUGUAGUCUAAAGAGAGGACGGUCUAGGUCAAAGAGGUGCUCAAGUCCCUUGAAAUAGGGCGCCAAAGAGGGUGAGAGCCCCGUGACAGCACCUCGUACACCUCAAGUGAUCACCUCUCGACGAGUCGAGUUGUUUGGGAAUGCAGCUCAAAGUGGGUGGUAAAUCUCAUCCAAGGCUAAAUAUUGGCAAGAGACCGAUAGCGAACAAGUACCGUGAGGGAAAGAUGAAAAGCACCUUGAAAAGGGAGUUAAACAGUGCGUGAAAUUGUUAAAAGGGAAACGAUAGAGACCAGAGUUGGAGGGAGCUUUAAGCCGGAGCGUCGGUGGCGGUCUAAGCCGGUGUCUCGGUUCCGGUAGCGAGAACCCUCCGAGUCAAUGCCAGUUGCAGCAGCCGGAUAGGGGGAGGGGGAAGGUGGUGUCGGCUCUCGGGUCGACGCAUUAUAGACUCUUUUCAUUUGCGGCAGCAGCGACCGGAAGGGUGGGUGGGGUGGCAGGAGACCACCAGAUUACUUGGUUGGUACUCGGCAGACACCCCAGACACGCGUCUUUGACAAAAUGGUCUUUAACGACCCGUCUUGAAACACGGACCAAGGAGUCUAACAAUCUUGCGAGCAUUAGAGUGGCAAACUCAUAUGCGUAAUAAAAGUAAAAGCGUGCGAUCCAAUCCAACAGGUUGUAGCAGCACGGACCGGCCCGUCAUCUCUGACAGGACCGAGUAAGAGUAGGAUUGUUGGGACCCGAAAGGCGGUGAACUAUGCCUGACUAGGGCAAAGCCAGAGGAAACUCUGGUGGAGGCUCGUAGCCGUUCUGACGUGCAAAUCGAUGGUAAAAGUUGGGUAUAGGGGCGAAAGACUAAUCGAACCGCCUAGUAGCUGGUUCCUUC
rnacentral:misc_RNA from 1 species